UACGGGGGGGGCAAGCGUUGUUCGGAAUUACUGGGCGUAAAGGGCUCGUAGGCGGCCAACUAAGUCAGACGUGAAAUCCCUCGGCUUAACCGGGGAACUGCGUCUGAUACUGGAUGGCUUGAGGUUGGGAGAGGGAUGCGGAAUUCCAGGUGUAGCGGUGAGAUGCGUAGAUAUCUGGAGGAACACCGGUGGCGAAGGCGGCCUGCUGGGCAGUUGCUGACACUGAGGCGCGACAGCGUGGGGAGCAAACAGG
rnacentral:rRNA from 1 species